rnacentral:rRNA from 1 species
GUGAGAACGCCCUUUACACUCCCCCAGGUUAAGGAGCUGGCAUCAGGCGCAGAAUACUAGCCCAUAACGCCUAAUCCCGUCACACCCUUAAGGGUAUUCAGCAGUGAUAAAUAUUGUCCAUAAGCGUCAGCUUGACCCAGUCAAAGAAAAUUAGGGCCGGCCAACCCAGUGCCAGCCGCCGCGGCUACACCAUGGGCCCAAGUAGAUAGCUACCGGCGUUAAGCGUGAUUAAAGUAAAAACCCCAAUAGAGUUAAAUAUAGACUUAGCUGUGAUAAGCUUGUUGUUUAGAAAAACAGAAACGAAAGUUACUCUAGUCUCACUUGAAUACACGACAGCUGGGAUACAAACUGGGAUUAGAU